UACGUAGGGGGCAAGCGUUGUCCGGAAUCAUUGGGCGUAAAGCGCGCGUAGGCGGCCAGAUAAGUCCGGUGUGAAAGUCACAGGCUCAACCUGUGAAUGCCGCUGGAAACUGUCUGGCUUGAGUCCGGAAGGGGCGAGUGGAAUUCCUGGUGUAGCGGUGAAAUGCGCAGAUAUCAGGAGGAACACCAAUGGCGAAGGCAGCUCGCUGGAACGGUACUGACGCUGAGGCACGAAAGCGUGGGGAGCGAACAGG
rnacentral:rRNA from 1 species